rnacentral:lncRNA from 1 species
GCCCAUGAUUUUAAGCACCACUGGCUGUUCACAGGCUCACACAGAAACUGUCUCCAAGCACAAUGCCCCUGGGAGAACUUCUUGGAAGUGCUGAUGCUGCCCUGUGUGAGACCAGCUAGGUCAACAUUUGCCUGGAAAAAGCUCUGGUUGUUUACAGCAGGCAUCUGGGCUGAUGAGUCAGGGCCUGUGGUUAGACAUUUUGAUUCUCACCCCUGAGACCAGCCCUUGGAAGCUCACACAGGAGCCGAGGCAGGGAACCUGGAGAGAAGAGGACAAACAGAGACUUCCCUCUGCUAAAUGAGAGUGAAUCCGCUGGCAAAGGUCUGACUCUGCGGAUUCCCUCCCACUCCACUCUGGGAUGGCAGAUGCUUAAGUACAUGCAGGCUGUGAAGUGAGUUGUAAAUAAGAUAUUGUUAUUAGGACUAUCCCUGAUAAGAAAGGCAUGUCCUCUGCACCUCUAAUCCUGGGCCACUGCUAUGCAUCCCCACUUAGAUGACCGACUGCAGUCGCUCAGAGCAAUUGUAGAGGAUGGCAAGGAAUCAACCUAUUUGGAUGAAGACGUUUUGUGGGCGGGCAGAGAAGAAAACUCUUGAGAGAAGGAAGCAUUGCCAGGGGCAUGGGAGCCUACAACUGCUGGUGCCUCAGUCCCAUCUUUGACCAAUUCAUUCAACAAACAUUUAUCAAGGAAUGUCUUUGUGCCAGACCCCAUCCUAGGCAUGGGGCAUGCAAGAAGGACAGGUCCCUGUACCCAUGGAACCCCCGUGCAGGAAGCAAAACAGGAAAUGAACAAUUAAACAAAUACACAGUGUAAUUUCAGAUCAUACUAAAUGGUGGAAAAUAAAGUGUGUUGAUGUGAUAGCAAGGGACUGGGGACUAGGGAGCGUCCGGGAUUGCUGUCUGUUAGGAGAUCAUAUUUGAGUUGAGACUCGAAUGCAGAGAAGGAAUCUACUGAGCGAAAACUAGUGGAAGAAGCACUUCUGUUCAACAUAGCAGUGGAACUCCUAGUCAGAGCAAUUAGGCAAGAACAAUAAAUAAAAGGCAUCCAAAUUGGAAAGGAAGAAGUAAAAUUAUCUCUGUACUCAAGUGACAUGAUCUUAUAUGCAGAAAACCCUAAAGAUUCUACAAAUCCCCCUGUUAGAACUAAUAAGUGGAUUUGACAAGUUGCAGGAUAUAAAAUCAAUGUGCAAAAAUCAGUGAAUAUGAACAAUUCAGAAAGAAAAUUAAGAAAACAAUUCAAUUUACUAUAGCAUCAAAAAGAAUAAAAGACAGGAAUAAAUUUGAAGAGGCAGAAGAUUUGUACCAAAAACUAUAAAAAACUAUAAAAAUUGCUGAAAAAUUAAAGCAGACACAAAUAAAUGCAGACACCAGAUGAUGCUCAUGAAUCAGAGGACUUAAUACUGGUAAAAUGCCCUUACCUUCCAAAGCGAUCUAUAGAUUCAAUGCAACCCCUAUCAAAAUUCUAAUUUUUUUGUGGAAAUAGAAAAAUUUAUACUAAAAUUCAUAUGGAACCUCAAGGCACCUCAAAUAGCCAAAACAAUCUUGAAAAAGAAGAAUGGUUAGAGACAUCACACUUCCUGAUUUCAAAACUUACUGCAAAGCUACAGUAAUCAAAACAGUAUCAUACUGACAUAAAGAUAGGUGUGUAGACCAAGGGAACAGUACAGACAGCCCAGAAUUAAACCCUCACAUGUAGGGCAGAUGAUCUUCGACAAAGAUGCUAAGACCGCUCAAUGGAGAAAGAACAGUCCCUUCAACAAAUGGUGUUGCAAAAACUGUAUAUCUACAUACAAAAGAACCUUUUAUCAUAUAUAAAAAUUAACUCAAAAUGGAUAAAAAACCUAAACACAAACCUAAAACUGUAAAACUCCUAGAAUAAAACAUAAGAGAGAAGCUUCAUGACAUUGGAUUUGGCAACGAUUUAUUGAAUGUGAAACUAAAAGUGUAGACAGCAAAAGAAAAAAUAGAUACAUUGGACUACAGCAAUAUUAAACACUUUGCAUCUAAAGACACAGCAGAGUGAAAGGUAACCUAUGAAAUGGGAGAAAAUGUUUGAAAUAUAUAUAAGGGGCUAAUAUCCAGGAUAUUAAAAACAAACUCCUACAACUCAACAACAAAAAAAGAAAUAACCCUAUUAUAAAAUGAGCAAAGGACUUGAAUAAAGAUUUCUCCAAAGAAGAUAUACAGAUGGCCCAUAAACACAAGAAAAGAUGCUCAGCACCACUAAUCAUUAGAAAAAUGCAAACCCAAACCACAAUGAGAUACCAUCUCAUGCUCAUUAGGAUGUCUACUAUCAAGAAAACAGAAACUAACAAGUGUUGGUGUCGGUGUGGAAAAACUGGAACCCUUGUGCACUAUUGAUGGAAAUGUCAAUUGUAUACCCCUAUGGCUAUACCCUAUGGAAUUAUACCAUAGGGGUAUACCAUGGGGGUAUAAUUGUAUACCAUAGGGGUUACCAUGGGGGUAUAAUUGUAUACUAUAGGGGUAUACCAUGGGGGUAUAAUUGUAUACCCAUAUGGAAAACAGUAUGGCUGUUCCUCGGAACAUUAAACAUAUAAUUACCAUGUGGUCCAGCGAUUCCUUUCUGGGUAUAUACCCCAAAAAAUUGAAAGCAAGGACUUGAAGAGGUAUCUGUACACACAGGCUCAUAGCAGUAUUAUUUACAAUGUCCAAAAGACGGAAGCAAUCCACGUGUCCAUUGACAGAUGAAUAGAUAAAGAAAAUGUGGUAUAUCCCUACGAUGGAAUAUUACUCAGCCUUAGAAAGGAAGGAGAUUCUGACACAUGCUGCAACACGGAUGAAGCUUGAGGACUUUAUGCUGAACGAAAUAAGCCAGUCACAAAAGGACAAAUACGGUAUGAUUCCACUUAUAGGAGGUACCUAGAGUAGUCAGAUUAUAAAGACAAGGUGGAAUGGUGACCGCCAAGGGCUGAGGGGAAGGAGAAUGGAGUCGUAUUUAACGGAUACAGAGUUUCAGUUUUGCCAGAUGAAAAGUUCUGUUGAGGGAUGGUGGUGAUCGUAGCACAAUGGUGUGAAUGUAGUUAAUGCCACUGAGCUGUACACUUAGAAAUGGUUAAGGUGGUUAAUUUAUGUGUGUAAUUUACCACAGUUAGGAAAAAUGAUCAGAAGAGAGUUCCAUGCUUAGGGAACAGCAAAUGCGGAGGCCCUGUGGGUAGGAAUGAGCUUGGCAGAUUUGAGACAAAGGAGUCCUGUGCUCUGGGAGCAAAGUGAAUCAGGUGGGGGAGUGGAAAGAGGUGUGACCACAAGGACAGACAGGGGACAGAACAGGCUGGAUCUUCUGAGUUUGCAUUUGAUAUCAGAGAUGUGAAAUCUGAGAUUCACAACAAAGAUCCCCAGUAACUUGCCCAAGGUGAAAUAGUCAGUAGGUGGCAGUGGCAGGGAGUCCAAGUGGUUCCCUAACAGAUUAGCUGUUUCCCCUUCUUCCUUAGUAAUAGAACUACUGCUGACUAUCAGUUGUGCCUAUGGUCACCCAGAGUCAUGACUACCUUUCCCAGCCCCUUUGCAGCUAAGCAUGGCAAGGGAACUUAGUCCUAGACAGUGGGAAAGUAGGCAAAAUCAUCAUGUGCAACUUUAAGGGUGUGUCCUUAAAGACAGAGGUAUUCUCUUCUUUAUCUUUUGUGCUUUCCUGCUAUCUGGAAUGUCAGUGUGAUGGUUGGAGUUUGGCAGCCAUCUUAGACCCAUGAAGCAAGGGAGAGUGACAUGACAGAUGGGAGAGUGUGGCCGACAUUGGACUUGGGAGUUGGGAGGGCUCCUGAGGUGGUGUCACUUGACCUGCCUUGUCUGAUGAGGAGGAGCCAGUGGAGGGUGGGCAUAUUUAAGUAAGGUCACUCCUGGUAGAAGGAUCUGAGGUGGGACAAGCUGGGAGUAAGAGGGGGUGGUGGUUGGACACAGCAGGGAGGCUGGAGGGACUGAGGGCAGGUGUGAGGGGAGCUUGGGCAGAGACAGGAGCUGAGAGGGGGCAGGGCCUGGCCCAUCAGUCCCGUGAUGGGGACACUGGAAGGUUGUGGUCAGAGAGCUGCCCAGGGCUGAUUCAGCAUGAGAAGGAUCCUUCUAACUGCUGUGUGGGGAAGGGGCUGCUCAUGACCAGGACGGGAGGCCAGGGCAAGGCUGGGGAGCCAUUCAGGGUCAGCAGAUGCUGGAAGAUGGAAUGGGAAGCACAUGUUCUGUAGAGUAUAGAGUGGAACCACCUGCGGGAUGAUGGGCCAGCACCUGCCCUGGACUCAGGGACAUCUGUGGCUGAUGAUUGUGAUAAAGAUGGGGGAUGACCUCAGAGCUCCCUUCCCAGCCUGCGUUUCUGCAGGGAAAUGUCAAAUCCAGGGAAUGGAAUUGAUCCCAGCAUAAAAAACACAUGACACUGUGGAGCCAGGAAGGAAGGUCAUGAGAAUGUUAUCAGAUGCCAUAUAAUACUCAAUAUAAAACCAAUCAAUAAUAAUCAGAAGUAAUCAAUAUAAAGCCAAUAAUCAAUAUAAAAUUCAACGCAACCGUAAUGAGGGUGAUGAUGCCUAACAUUUUAAACCCUUGCAUCCCAUGGGCAGAUGGUGUACUGAGCACUUUACUGGUAUUUUCUGCCUUAACUUGUCUGAUAAUCCUAUGUAACAGGAACUAUCAUUAUCCUCAGUUUAUAGAGGAGGAGACUCAGGCACAGAGAGGUUUAAAUAACCUGCCCAAGGUCACACAGCUAGUAAGUGGUAGGCAGUGGGCUGGGAUUUGAACCCAGAGAACCUGCCUCCCAUGCAGGUGUUGUGUGCAAAUUUGGCUCAGCCAAUUGGAUUCUCUUGUCUAGAUCCAGGAGGUCUUCACCUUUCUGGAUAUCUGGCUCACUUGCAUCCUGUGAUUGUGCCCCCCCAGAGUGAGGGGGUGCAUCAGGGCUGAGGAUGCUGGUUUGAGUCUUUGAGCAGCAUGUGAGACAAACCGAGCAGCAGAUGUGGCCAGGUGGGAAAGCCGACACCUCCUGGACUCUCGAAGGCUGAACUGGAGACCCAGGGACAGGGACGGGAGGGUCCCAUGGGAGUCCCCAACUCUUAUCAUCAUUUCCGUGUUCAUUUGUUCUUGGGAGAGGGGACAUCAGAGCCUCCUUCCCCCAUUAGAAUUUUUGCUCCAAGAAGGGGUUUUUGUUUGAUGUGUGUCUCUAGUGCCUUGGGCAGUUCCUGGCUCAAUAUGUAUAGAAAUAUUAUUGUAAUAAAGAUGAGGGCAGCGACCUUAUCUGUCCCUUUCAACCCAGCACCUAGCAGAGUACCUGGCAUGUGGUAGGACUCAAUAAAUAUUUGUAGAAUGAAUGAAUGGAUGAAUGAAUGAGUGACAUCUCUCAAUCCUUCCCCAUACCUGCCUCCUCUGUCUUCAGGACCCUUUCCUCCUCAUCUCAUUCCAACAUCCCUGUUUUGGGGCUUUCUUGGGUGGAUUUGGGGCCCCAUUGUGCUCCCCCAGUGCCUGUUUUAACAGCCUCCCUCCUGCCAAGAUGACAAAUGUCUCUCAGCCCUGGAAGCUGAGGCUGCCUCCACUGUGAAGCUGAUACCACUGUUGGAAGAUGCUUCCUCCCACAUUGGCACUGCUCUGCUGUGCCCCGGGGUUGCGGCACCUCCUCUGACUGGCCCUUCACUUCAGUCACACUCCUGGAAACAAGUUCCCAGGCAGACCCCGUCCCCAAAGUCUAGGAUUCAAUUGUCUGCUUAUACCAGUGCUAAAAACAGCAUGAUUUCCCCCAACUCAGCUGCACCUGUGCAGACAAGAAUAAGACAGCAUAUUUUUAGCAGGUAACAGACUGCACACAUGCAGGCUAUAAUUAGCAUUUCAUUCAAAGGGAGGAGUUUCCCAUCCAAUGCAAGAGUGACUGACCACGGGGUCUUCUCACUGCAGCCUCUGUCUCAGGUGCCUGGUGCAGGAAGGAGCCAGCAGCACUGAGGGAGACCCUGGGGUUCCCUGGGCACCCAGGAAAGGGGUGGGGCCUUUUUGGAUAUUGCUCCCGUCACUGCUCAUACCUUUCUCUCUGGCCUGUCCAGAGCCUUGGUCCUGCCCAGACCCUAGUGCUGUCCUCCUGUGAGGAUGACCUGGCCAGGCCAUGUGAUGAAGGUGCCCUGUCAGGUUGGUGUGGGGCUUGCAGGUCCUCUGUCCUGCACUCAAGCUGCCCCAUGGGGGACAGGGACAGGGCUGGGGUUACCCAGCUGUGGCAGAGACUGCUGGAUGACCUCAGCAUCCCUCCUGGUAGCAGUGAGCCUAGCUGCCUGGAAUAAAGACUGCAUUUCCCAGGCCUCCUUGUGACCAAAACAUGGCCAGUGGGGUGUGAACAUUGUCUUUUUUUCCUUCUCUUUGGAUGGGAGAAAACAGGGUACAGAUGUCUGGGAUGAAGCAGAAGGCAACGGUCUCAAAAAUCCGAGGAUAAAGAUAGAAGGAGGUGGGGCCUCAGUUUCCUCUGCUGUAAAAUGGAAGAGUAAUUAUGUCUAUGUUCUGUGGUUUCUGUAAGUUAAGAUUCUUUCAGCUGCUAAGUGAAGAAAAAUUAAACCCCAAUGGUCUAAGGCAAAGGUGGAUUUAUUGGCUCAGGUAACUGGAAAAAAAAUAUUCAAGAAAG